rnacentral:rRNA from 1 species
GUCUAUGGCCCUCCCACCCUGAACAAGUAUGAUGUCUGAUCUCAGAAGCUAAGCAGGGUUGGGACUGAUUAGUACUUGGAUGGGAGACUACCUAGGAAGACCAGGGGCUGUAGGAG